GACGAACGCUGGCGGCGUGCUUAACACAUGCAAGUCGAACGGAAAGGCCCUGCUUUUGUGGUGUGCUCGAGUGGCGAACGGGUGAGUAACACGUGAGUAACCUGCCCGUUACUUUGGGAUAACUUCAGGAAACUGGGGCUAAUACCGGAUAUGAGCUCCUGCUGCAUGGUGGGGGUUGGAAAGUUUCGGCGGUUGGGGAUGGACUCGCGGCUUAUCAGCUUGUUGGUGGGGUAGUGGCUUACCAAGGCUUUGACGGGUAGCCGGCCUGAGAGGGUGACCGGCCACAUUGGGACUGCGAUAAGGCCCAGAAUCCUACGGGAGGCAGCAGUGGGGAAUAUUGCACAAUGGGCGGAAGCCUGAUGCAGCAACGCCGCGUGCGGGAUGACGGCCUUCGGGUUGUAAACCGCUUUCGCCUGUGACGAAGCGUGAGUGACGGUAAUGGGUAAAGAAGCACCGGCUAACUACGUG
rnacentral:rRNA from 1 species